AAUGGGAAGGGAGGGGCGGGCUAAAUAUUGCCAUGGCAACGUGUCCACAUUUUGUUACAGCCUACUCUAUACUGCUUUUUUUUCGUGUCAGGAGCAACCGGAGUUGCUUCUGGAGUGAGAGAAUUGGCCGUCUGCAAGGAUGUUGCCCAGGGGACGCCCGAAUGUUUUGAUGUUUUACCAUCCUUGUGGGAGGCUUCUCUCAUGUCCCCGCAUGGAGCUGGAGCUGAUAAAGGGAGCUCAUCCGCACUCUCCCCGGAUGGGAUUCGAACCUGGCAACCUUCAGGGGAAGCUAGCACCAAAAUUUGGCGGCCAGUAGUGAUGUCAAUGCCAACAUACAAAUGCAACGAUGGCGAGCACCAACUGCAAAGAAGAGCCGGACCAGAAGGUUCCACCUAUUUUCAGGGAGAAGACCAGAUCUUACCUGCAACGGCCUGAGGAUGUUCCAGCCAGGAUAUAAGGACUAGCAAGAGAGAAAGGAGCAACACAAAGUCACUCUUCAUUGUGUCCUUUGAGGCAAGUGCUGAGUUAAGAAUUAAGCAACUUUAUUAAUACUGUGUUCCAUAAUGGGAUGGCGAGGGGGCUGAACUCUACAUCAGGCAGCAGCCCAAACACCGGCCUGAGAGGCUCCUUUGUCUAUGAGGAAGAGGCUCCAUGUUCUUGAAUAAGGAACAUUGAGUACAUUUUGGAGACCAACUUUCAGUCUUUUCCAGUUUGGGCAAAUCAGAAAGAGACAGGACUAUAAAUUUUGCCUGGCGAAUACUUUCAGGUCUCCGAAGAUUUGACAUGAACCUCCACAAGCCAGAGACUAUAUUGUUUCAUGUGUUGAUAUAUUAUUCUGAUUACCAUGAACUGACCAAAAGUGCUGCAGAAUCUCUUUCUCACAGAUGGAUGCAAAAAAUCUUCUUGGAGCAGGGGAUUGGAUUUUUUUUGCAAAUGUCUCUCCAGGAUUACAAUAUUUUAAGGUUGGUCAGUGCUAUAGUGCAAUCUGUUGGAGAAUGGAGCCUAAGCAGCUGGUAAAAAGAGCCACAGUGUCCCCUGCUCUUGUUUUUCCAGAUCUAAUCCUCACACUCUCAUCCUCUCUUUCCUUCUAUCUAAUGGACUAUUGAGGGAGGAACAAAAUGUUCUUCCCAAUGGAGAUUGGAAUCAAAGUAUAGGGAAAUUACUUUUGGGAAAACAAGUUCCAGAAUCUCCUGUGAAAACAGCCAGUGCUUAUGCUAAUUUGGGAAUUCUGACAAUAGUAGUCCAAAGUAUUAUUUUUCUAAGGCUUAGAUCAAUGAUGAAGAUUAAGAGGAGAGUCAAGAGAUUUAUUUUUCUUGGAAAUCCAUCUACUUGGUAAGCAGGGAGAAUGGAGUAGCUAUGAACUGUCCAAAGUUCUGAAUUCCAUAAUGACAAACUGCUGCACCCCCAAUAGCAGCAUACUCCAUAUUUUGCUGUCAAAGGGGGUCCUUGGUGGUAUUAAAUCUGCCGAGUAAUGUCCCCAUGACCCUGUAGCCUCACCAUACCUGGAGAAUUAUACUUUGACUCUCCAUUAAAGGUAAUGACACAAGCUAGAAGCUGCUCAAAAGUUGGUAAACAUAUGUUGGUGUAUGCUGCAUAAUAUUCCUGUUUUUGCAUGUACUCCAUGAAGACCUUUCUCCAUAUCAGCAUCCAGACAGACAUGGUAUACCUUUCUCCAAAACAAAAUAUAUCUGUUUUAGCCAUAAUUUGUGUUUUUUGUUUUCAAUUUCUAUAUUCAUAAAUGAAACAAACCUGUAAAGUAAAGGUAAAGAUUUCCCCUUGAUAUCAAGUCUAACCAAGUCCGACUCUGGGGGGUAGUGCUCAUCUCCCUUUCUAAGCUGAAGUGCCGGUGUUAUCCAUAGACACCUCCAAGGUCAUCUGGCCAGCAUGACUACAUGGAGCGCUGUUCCCUUCCUGCCGAAGCAGUACCUAUUGAUCUACUCACAUAUGCAUGUUUUCGAACUGCUCGGUUGACAGAAGCUGGGGCUAACAACGUUCCGAUCAGCAAGUUCUGCAGCUUAGAGGUUUAACCCACUGCGUCACCACAGCUCCAUGUAUAUAUACAUAAACCAAUACAAUACUCCAUAACAUUUAUACAAUAUACAUAUUUGGUUAUACCCUUCCCUCCUCCCACCCUUCCAAUUUUGGUGGCUUUCCAUCCCUUAGGUUAGAGACCUAGAUAUAUAAUUCUGUUCUUCUUUCCUAUUACAUUGUUUUUCUAUUCUUCCUUCUGGCCUGAUAUUUAUUGUUUAUAAAUUACCUACACAGAUUCUGUUAGUGUGGUGGUUGAAACAUGUGCUGAAAAAAAUCAUUCAUCCAGACACAUGUCAGCUAAAACAGACACUGAAGGGUGAAUUGUUCAGUGGGGCUGGAUUAAAGCAGCCAUGCAUAUGACAUGUCAGGCUGUGUCAUGACGAGUAGCCUAUAGGUCACUUUCUGCGUGGACACCAAAAAUGGGAAGGCUAUUUAAACUCAGAAGCCACAUGGCUUCAGCCUCUCUCGGAUAUUCUCUUGAUAUUCUCUCAUUAUCAUCUCUCUUAAUACUUGUGCCGUGACAUCUGGACUGUUUAUCGGGCUUGUUUGUAUAUAGUUUGGUGAUUAAGAAACAGAAGAAGGAAUAAAUAUGGCCUUCAAUAUUACUUGAAUGAA